rnacentral:tRNA from 2 species
GCCCGAGUGGCGGAAUUGGCAGACGCGACGGACUCAAAAUCCGUUUCUGGCAACAGAGUGUGAGUUCGAGUCUCACCUCGGGCACCA